rnacentral:tRNA from 2 species
CUCUAAGAAGCUAAUAAGGCUACCUAGCGCUAGCCUUUUAAGCUAGAGACUGGUGGCCGCCGACCACCCUUAGAGG